rnacentral:rRNA from 1 species
CUCGGAGUUUGAUCCUGGCUCAGGAUGAACGCUAGCGGCAGGCUUAACACAUGCAAAGUCGAGGGGUAUAGUUCUUCGGAACUAGAGACCGGCGCACGGGUGCGUAACGCGUAUGCAAUCUACCUUAUACAGAGGGAUAGCCCAGAGAAAUUUGGAUUAAUACCUCAUAGUAUGUGAGAAUCGCAUGGUUUUUCACAUUAAAGUUCCAACGGUAAAAGAUGAGCAUGCGUCCCAUUAGCUAGAUGGUAAGGUAACGGCUUACCAUGGCGACGAUGGGGUAGGGGUCCUGAGAGGGAGACUCCCCCGACACUGGUACUGAGACACGGACCAGACU